rnacentral:rRNA from 1 species
CCAGGCUUGAACUGCGAGUGACCACGCCCGAAAGGGCGCUUCCGCAAGGACACUCGUAGAGGUGCUGCAUGGCUGUCGUCAGCUCGUGUCGUGAGAUGUUGGGUUAAGUCCCGCAACGAGCGCAACCCUUGUCCUCUGUUGCCAUCACGUUAUGGUGGGCACUCUGAGGAGACUGCCGGUGAUAAACCGGAGGAAGGUGGGGAUGACGUCAAGUCAGCAUGGCCUUUAUGUCUGGGGCUACACACGUGCUACAGUGGCCGGUACAAAGCGUCGCAAACUCGCGAGGGGGAGCUAAUCGCAGAAAGCCGGUCUCAGUUCGGAUUGUAGGCUGCAACUCGCCUGCAUGAAGUCGGAAUCGCUAGUAAUCGCGGAUCAGCAUGCCGCGGUGAAUA